GCCAGUGUGGCAUAGUGGUCUGAGUGUUGGAUUGCGACUCUGGAAUCCAGGGUUUGAUUCCCAGCUCAGCCG